AGCGAACGCUGGCGGCGUGCCUAACACAUGCAAGUCGAACGUGAAUGGGAGCAAUCCCUAGUAAAGUGGCGUACGGGUGAGUAACACGUAGGUAAUCUACCCCAAAGUCUGGAAUAACCUGCCGAAAGGCGGGCUAAUACUGGAUAGAGCGAUGGAAUCCGUAAUUGGGUUUUUCGGGAAAGGGAGGAAGCAAUUCCCUUCGCUUUGGGAUGAGCCUGCGUCUCAUUAGCUAGUUGGUGGGGUAAUGGCCCACCAAGGCUUUGAUGGGUAGCUGGUCUGAGAGGAUGAUCAGCCACACUGGAACUGAAACACGGUCCAGACUCCUACGGGAGGCAGCAGUGGGGAAUCUUGCGCAAUGGACGAAAGUCUGACGCAGCCACGCCGCGUGAGUGAAGAAGGCCUUCGGGUUGUAAAGCUCUGUCGCCCGGGACGAAAACUCUUUAGGUGAAUAGCCUAAGGAAUUGACGGUACCGGGAGAGGAAGCACCGGCUAACUCCGUGCCAGCCGCCGC
rnacentral:rRNA from 1 species